rnacentral:rRNA from 1 species
UACAGAGGUCUCAAGCGUUGUUCGGAUUCAUUGGGCGUAAAGGGUGCGUAGGCGGCGCGGUAAGUCGGGUGUGAAAUCUCGGAGCUUAACUCCGAAACUGCAUUCGAUACUGCCGUGCUUGAGGACUGGAGAGGAGACUGGAAUUUACGGUGUAGCGGUGAAAUGCGUAGAUAUCGUAAGGAAGACCAGUGGCGAAGGCGGGGUCU